GCGGCGUGCUUAAUACAUGCAAGUCGAGCGGUUCCCGGGCCUUGUACACACCGCCCGUAGCGGCGGACGGGUGAGUAACACGUGGGUAACCUGCCUGUAAGACUGGGAUAACUCCGGGAAACCGGGGCUAAUACCGGAUGCUUGAUUGAACCGCAUGGUUCAAUCAUAAAAGGUGGCUUUUAGCUACCACUUACAGAUGGACCCGCGGCGCAUUAGCUAGUUGGUGAGGUAACGGCUCACCAAGGCGACGAUGCGUAGCCGACCUGAGAGGGUGAUCGGCCACACUGGGACUGAGACACGGCCCAGACUCCUACGGGAGGCAGCAGUAGGGAAUCUUCCGCAAUGGACGAAAGUCUGACGGAACAACGCCGCGUGAGUGAUGAAGGUUUUCGGAUCGUAAAACUCUGUUGUUAGGGAAGAACAAGUACCGUUCGAAUAGGGCGGUACCUUGACGGUACCUAACCAGAAAGCCACGGCUAACUACGUGCCAGCAGCCGCGGUAAUACGUAGGUGGCAAGCGUUGUCCGGAAUUAUUGGGCGUAAAGCGCGCGCAGGCGGUUUCUUAAGUCUGAUGUGAAAGCCCCCGGCUCAACCGGGGAGGGUCAUUGGAAACUGGGGAACUUGAGUGCAGAAGAGGAGAGUGGAAUUCCACGUGUAGCGGUGAAAUGCGUAGAGAUGUGGAGGAACACCAGUGGCGAAGGCGACUCUCUGGUCUGUAACUGACGCUGAGGCGCGAAAGCGUGGGGAGCGAACAGGAUUAGAUACCCUGGUAGUCCACGCCGUAAACGAUGAGUGCUAAGUGUUAGAGGGUUUCCGCCCUUUAGUGCUGCAGCAAACGCAUUAAGCACUCCGCCUGGGGAGUACGGUCGCAAGACUGAAACUCAAAGGAAUUGACGGGACGGGCCCGCACAAGCGGUGGAGCAUGUGGUUUAAUUCGAAGCAACGCGAAGAACCUUACCAGGUCUUGACA
rnacentral:rRNA from 1 species